GAGAGUUUCAAAGUUUUUGAUACUAGUCAGCUAUCAUGAAAAUUCUCUACAUAUAUAAUUAGGGCAGUAUCUUUUACAUCACAGUAUGGCAACACUCAUAACAUCCCUUUUAAAUUAAGUACACUAUAUUGAAGACCUGUGGCAGAGUUAUGGAAAAAUAUUGACAGAAGUCUCAGUUAUAGCUUAACCAAGGAAUCAGUGAGCCCUGACUUUACCAACAAUUUAAGAAGUGGAAAAACCUCAACAGCCUGAUUAAAGAAAAAGUUACUAAUAACUAGAGCCACUCCUAGAUUUGUCAGUCAACUAAUACCAACAACAGUAUCAUCCAGGGACAGUACUUCAAGAACAGCCUUUCUUCAAAAGGUUCUUCCUCCAAGGUAUUUUGAUUGUUGAAAAUGGAUUUCAUGUUUUUCUUCCACAAAAGAAAAGAUAAAAAACUGAAAAUAUUGGACAUCAAAUAACCCUACAGGGAGA
rnacentral:lncRNA from 1 species